rnacentral:rRNA from 1 species
UACGUAGGGGGCAAGCGUUGUCCGGAUUUAUUGGGCGUAAAGAGCGUGUAGGCGGCUUUACAGGUCCGUUGUGAAAACUCGAGGCUCAACCUCGAGACGCCGGUGGAAACCGUAAGGCUAGAGUCCGGAAGAGGAGAGUGGAAUUCCUGGUGUAGCGGUGAAAUGCGCAGAUAUCAGGAGGAACACCGGUGGCGAAGGCGGCAUCCUGGACCGGUAUUGACGCUGAGGAGCGAAAGCCAGGGGAGCAAACGGG